AACAGCUGAUCUUCUUCGAUCCGAAAGCCUGGAUCCAUUUCAAACUCUUUCCCUUGUGGUUGAACUUCGUCCUGGUUGUCCUGUACAGGCUCUAUCGUCGCGGCAACAAGCCCGGGCACAGGACUUUGAGGGAAAGGCAGGGCCGAGGCGAUCACCAUGGCAACCAGGGGAAGCCAGUGCAUCACUCCCAAGACGUGUCAACUAUGAAUAGGGCGUCCAUCUACUUUGAAUGGGUGGCGUCAAGCGCAGAUUAACUGAAUUGUGGAUACGUUGGCGCCGCUUUAGCAGCGUUGCUCGCUGCAGAAGUUGGGAAUUUCUUAACUUUUCAAGCACCAACGGAAGCGUCAGCCAAUCAGAUUGCUUUAUGCAAAUACCCCAGUUCAGACAUUAGCCGACCGCAGACUAAUUUCAUUGGUUGACACUGCUAUGAUAAUCGCGUCAGCCCCAACUUCAGAUACGCUCUCCAUCAAGGGUUGAAACUAAAAAGUGUGAAUCGGUGUUAGCCUACUUGUUCUUAGGUAACGUGUUUUGGCUGAGUGUAAGGAUAGGUUAAUAAAUCUGAUUCUACAUGUUUGAUCGAAUGUUUGCCUUUACUCCUUUAUUGUAUAACAAUAUUGUACUCAAUACUUUUAUAAUUAUUAUUGACUAUUAAAAUUAUAGCUAUAGCUACUGAUUAUUAUAUUCAGCUAUUGGUUAUCUCAUAUUUCACAUGCAUUUCCUGAUAAUGUUUACACAUUUCUGAUAAUGUUUAUUGUGUGCAUAUAGCCUGACAUUAAGUGCGUAUUGCCAAAACUACACAGUGAGCCUGAUGUUUCAUAUUUUUCAAUGAUAAAAGGAGGCAGCUGUUUUGUUAUAUAUUUGCAUACAGUGGUGACAGCCAUAUAAAUAUGUACAUGAUGCCUCAACAUUUUUGGUGUCUGUUAUGUUUAAAUUGUUAAUAUAAAAUGAAAAGAGACAGUG